UAAGUCAUGACAACACGGCUCCUCUAUUUAGCCCUUUAAUGACAUUUUUACCAGUCUCACUGAAACGUAGCUCCUUUAAUGAGCUCAGCUAAUGAGCAGUUCCACCAGGUGUUUGCUAAUUGCUGCUGGCUAGUCUGAAGGAGCUGAGAGUGCUGCUCUGUGAGGCAAAAGCUCGUAAGGAGGAGGAGGAGCUUUGUCCUCGAAGGUGGAGCUGGGUCCAUCCAGGCGUUUUGUGCAGCUGAAUGGUUGCCACGGGAGAUUAAUGGAUUUCUCAAACAUGCAUGAAAUAAUCAAAGCAACACCCCAGGUAUGCAUCUGAAAAAGUCUAUU